rnacentral:tRNA from 1 species
GGAGAUUUAGCUCAGCGGCAUGAGCACCUGCCUUGCAAGCAGGCAGUCCUGAGUUCAACCUCCA